rnacentral:rRNA from 1 species
AUACGUAGGGGGCGAGCGUUGUCCGGAAUGACUGGGCGUAAAGGGCGUGUAGGCGGUUGUCUAAGUCUGGAGUGAAAGUCCUGCUUUCAAGGUGGGAAUAGCUUUGGAUACUGGAUGACUUGAGUGCGGAAGAGGCAAGUGGAAUUCCCAGUGUAGCGGUGAAAUGCGUAGAGAUUGGGAGGAACACCAGUGGCGAAGGCGACUUACUGGGCCGUAACUGACGCUGAGGCGCGAAAGCGUGGGGAGCGAACAGGAUUAGAUACCCUGGUAGUCCACGCGGUAAACGAUGAAUGCUAGGUGUUGCGGGUAUCGACCCCUGCAGUGCCGGAGUAAACACAAUAAGCAUUCCGCCUGGGGAGUACGGCCGCAAGGUUGAAACUCAAAUGAAUUGACGGGG